GAAAGCCUUAGUCACAGCAGGCAAUGCAAUAGAGACGGGGCUGGACGACCGGCUUUUGGCAACGUUUCAGCGAAUUAUCCUGUUGAUGCAAACAACCAGGUGAAGUUUUCGGGCAAGGCGUUUGUUUUGCCAUUUUCGUGGAAACCAGGUGAAAUAAUAUUCGACGAAAAUGAUCGAGACAAGAUAUGAUCCAAUCCACGGGUACGAUUACACGUAUUGGCCCGACUCCAAAUACUUUAGGAAUUACAAAUUUUCGCCACCCGUUACCAUAUUGGACGAUUGGUCGUACAGAUCGAGGGUCUGGUUUCCAUAUUAUUGGUCAACUCGUCGUCUGUUUCAGCACUAUUUGGAUUACAAACCCUCGGAAGUGUCGCUCAGAGAUGUCCGACUGCGGAACAAUCUUUACUUUUAAAACGGACGUUUAAAUUUGAAACAACGGACUUGUCGCCUCGGCGCUUGUAUUUUGGUGAAAUAAACAUAUCGAUGUAACCUGUCUCGACUACCUGUAAAUAGACGUGUCUCAAUAAACCAAA